UACGGAGGAUCCAAGCGUUAUCCGGAAUUACUGGGCGUAAAGAGUUGCGUAGGUGGCAUGGUAAGUUGGUAGUGAAAGCGUUCGGCUCAACCGGAUAUACAUUACCAAAACUGCUAAGCUAGAGGAUGAGAGAGGUUAUUGGAAUUCCCUGUGUAGGAGUGAAAUCCGUAGAUAUAGGGAGGAACACCGAUGGCGUAGGCAGAUAACUGGCUCAUUCCUGACACUAAGGCACGAAAGCGUGGGGAGCAAACGGG
rnacentral:rRNA from 1 species